CCCGGAUCCAGACUUUGAUUCUGGCUCAGAUUGAACGCUGGCGGCAGGCCUAACACAUGCAAGUCGAGCGGAUGACGGGAGCUUGCUCCUUGAUUCAGCGGCGGACGGGUGAGUAAUGCCUAGGAAUCUGCCUGGUAGUGGGGGACAACGUUUCGAAAGGAACGCUAAUACCGCAUACGUCCUACGGGAGAAAGCAGGGGACCUUUGGGCCUUGCGCUAUCAGAUGAGCCUAGGUCGGAUUAGCUAGUUGGUGGGGUAAUGGCUCACCAAGGCGACGAUCCGUAACUGGUCUGAGAGGAUGAUCAGUCGCACUGGAACUGAGACACGGUCCAGACUCCUACGGGAGGCAGCAGUGGGGAAUAUUGGACAAUGGGCGAAAGCCUGAUCCAGCCAUGCCGCGUGUGUGAAGAAGGUCUUCGGAUUGUAAAGCACUUUAAGUUGGGAGGAAGGGCAGUAAGUUAAUACCUUGCUGUUUUGACGUUACCGACAGAAUAAGCACCGGCUAACUAUGUGCCAGCAGCCGCGGUAAUACAGAGGGUGCAAGCGUUAAUCGGAAUUACUGGGCGUAAAGCGCGCGUAGGUGGUUUGUUAAGUUGGAUGUGAAAGCCCCGGGCUCAACCUGGGAACUGCAUCCAAAACUGGCAGGCUAGAGUACGGUAGAGGGUGGUGGAAUUCCGCGUGUAGCAGUGAAAUGCGUAGAUAUGCGGAGGAACACCGAUGGCGAAGGCAGCCUCCUGGGAUAACACUGACGCUCAUGCACGAAAGCGUGGGGAGCAAACAGGAUUAGAUACCCUGGUAGUCCACGCCCUAAACGAUGUCAACUAGCUGUUGGGGCCUUCGGGCCUUGGUAGCGCAGCUAAAGCGUGAAGUUGUCCGCCUGGGGAGUACGGUCGCAAAGUUAAAACUCAAAGGAAUUGCCGGGGGCCCGCACAAACGGUGGAUGAUGUGGAUUAAUUCGAUGCAACGCGAAAAACCUUACCUACCCUUGACAUGUCUGGAAUCCUGAAGAGAUUGUAGGAGUGGUCGGAAGAGAACCGGAACACAGGUGCUGCAUGGCUGUCGUCAGCUCGUGUCGUGAGAUGUUGGGUUAAGUCCCGCAACGAGCGCAACCCUUGUCAUUAGUUGCUAUCGAAAGGGCACUCUAAUGAGACUGCCGGUGACAAACCGGAGGAAGGUGGGGAUGACGUCAAGUCCUCAUGGCCCUUAUGGGUAGGGCUUCACACGUCAUACAAUGGUCGGGACAGAGGGUCGCCAACCCGCGAGGGGGAGCCAAUCCCAGAAACCCGAUCGUAGUCCGGAUCGCAGUCUGCAACUCGACUGCGUGAAGUCGGAAUCGCUAGUAAUCGCGGAUCAGCAUGUCGCGGUGAAUACGUUCCCGGGUCUUGUACACACCAGCCCGUCACACCAUGGGAGUGGGUUUUACCAGAAGUAGUUAGCCUAACCGCAAGGGGGGCGAUUCCACGGUAGGAUUCAUGACUGGGGUGAAGUCGUAACAAGCUAGCCGUAAGCUUCAC
rnacentral:rRNA from 1 species